GGAUGUGAGGGCGAUCUGGCUGCGACACCUGUCACCCCAUUGAUCGCCAGGGUUGAUUCCUCUGAUCUGGCUGGCUAGCGGGUGUCCCCUUCCUCCCUCACCGCUCCAUGUGCGUCCCUCCCCAAGCUGUGCGCUCGGUCGAAGAGGACGACCUUCCCCGAAUAGAGGAGGACCGGUCUUCGGUCAAGGAUAUACGAGUAGCUGAGCUCCCCUGCUAGAACCUCCAAACAAGCUCUCAAGAAUUAUAAAGAGAGGAAAAAGAAAAUCAACACUUCUAGGAUAUUAACUGUGACAAAUACUU
rnacentral:snRNA from 1 species